rnacentral:rRNA from 1 species
AAAUUGAAGAGUUUGAUCAUGGCUCAGAUUGAACGCUGGCGGCAGGCCUAACACAUGCAAGUCGAACGGUAACAGGAAGCAGCUUGCUGCUUUGCUGACGAGUGGCGGACGGGUGAGUAAUGUCUGGGAAACUGCCUGGUGGAGGGGGAUAACUACUGGAAACGGUAGCUAAUACCGCAUAACGUCGCAAGACCAAAGAGGGGGACCUUCGGGCCUCUUGCCAUCGGAUGUGCCCAGAUGGGAUUAGCUAGUAGGUGGGGUAACGGCUCACCUAGGCGACGAUCCCUAGCUG